rnacentral:rRNA from 26 species
CACACCUGUUCCCAUGCCGAACACAGAAGUUAAGCUCCUUAGCGUCGAUGGUAGUCGAACUUACGUUCCGCUAGAGUAGAACGUUGCCAGGCA